GUGGCUUUCAGUCUUAUAUAUUUUAAACUUUUUCUUUUAAUGAUACCCAUUUUUAUUUCAUGGUUGAACCAGGAGUUAUCUGUUUGUCUAACGGCCGCUUUCUUGAUAGGUACAUGUUCAUUAUAAAGAUAGUCGAUGUUUGAUUGAAGGUGGGCAAGCUGAGAAUUCACACCCGGCAUAUAAUAUAUUGAUGUCCAGUCGAGCAUGUUAAUGUCAGUGUCUAGUUUUCCAAGGUCAAUGUUCCUAAAGUCUCUAUAGAAGGUAACAUAGUCAUGGUAGUCAGGAUUGAUGACGUAGGUCAUGAAAAUAAGGACAUGUUUUGAAUACCCUGGCACUGUGAGUUGAUCAUAGAGUAACAAUUUUUCGGUGCUGUCAACAAAAAAUAAGUCUAAUAGUGUGUUUCUGGUUUUUGUAAAGUGUGUGGGGUAUUGGUGGUUUACAACAUUUAAACCAAGACUAAACAGUUUAUCUGGCAAUCGGGAUUCUCUCAGAAUGUCACAGUUAAAGUCACCUGCAUGUAUUAUGUCUGUAUACAUCAGAGAAAUGUCAGUAACAAGUGUUGUCAAAUACGAAUAGUCAAUGUUUUGGUUUGGUCGAUAUAUACAGCCAAGGAGCAGUCUCUUUUUGUCUCUUUGAUCUUUAGAAAAAUGUAUUCUAUAGCGCUGUCCGGUAUUUGCUUACAGACGAGUUUAGCAGCUGUCUUGUUAUUUAUAUAUAUUGCAACGCCCCCGGCAUGUUCUAUACGAUCAGAUCGCAACACAAACAAAGUUUCAGACACAAAUAUAACAUCCACUCCUGAAUCCACGAACAUAUGUCUAAAUUCUUCAAUUUUUUUCGGCAAGCUUUGUGCAUUAAUAUGGCAGAUUUGGAGACCCGAUUUUUGCUUCACCAGAAUUCUAAGCAUCUGAAAUGUAUUCGCAUUGUGAAAUUUCGUUCCCCGCUUUUUCCUGGCCUUCCUUCGCCAAUAUUGAGUGUCUUUGGCGUGUGAUGAUGAUCAGGUUCGAAAUGGAUAUUCUACACACGGACCUGCCGCUGGGGAUCUGUUGACAGUGCUCAGAUGUUGGUUCCACAGAAAACGCACUUGUCUACGGAGCGUGUCACUUGCACGUCUGUUCUUCUCGAGUUGUUUCGUGUUGUUUCGUUGUUACAGUUGUUUCGGAACAUACGGGUCGUCAAACUCCUUGGACCAACGCUUGACGAACGCUAAAACACCUUAGCUUUAUUUACUGUUGCAACCUCUUAUGAUCAAAAAGGACUCCGAGGUCAUUUUAACUCGAAAUUCGUUCGGGGACAUGAUUUCCUAGAACAUAUGAGACAAAAUGUGGAGCAUUGCAUUUAGAAAGGUUCAGAAAAAGAAGAUUAGUUGAACACCACGAUAGUAGUUCACUUAGAUCCAGUUGAAGGCGUGUG